GCGAAGGCGGUUUACUAGCUCGAUACUGACGCUCAGUCACGAAAGCGUGGGUAGCAAAUAGGAUUAGAUACCCUAGUAGUCCACGCUGUAAACGAUGAGAACUAAAUAUUGCCGCGAGGCAGUGUUGAAGCUAACGCAUUAAGUUCUCCGCCUGGGGAGUACGCUCGCAAGAGUGAAACUUAAAGGAAUUGACGGGGACCCGCACAAGCAGUGGAGCAUGUGGUUUAAUUCGACGCUACGCGAAGAACCUUACCAGGGCUUGACAUGGAGAUAAAAAUCUUAGAAAUAAGACAAUAGUUAUAUCUCACACAGGUGGUGCAUGGUUGUCGUCAGCUCGUGUCGUGAGAUGUUGGGUUAAGUCCCGCAACGAGCGCAACCCUCGUCUUUAGUUGCCAGCACAUUAUGGUGGGAACUCUAGAGAGACUGCCGAUGUAAAUCGGAGGAAGGUGGGGAUGACGUCAAAUCAUCAUGCUCUUUAUGUCCUGGGCGACACACGUGCUACAAUGGCCGGUACAAAGAGACGCAAUGCCGCGAGGCGGAGCAAAUCCCAUAAAGCCGGUCUCAGUUCGGAUUGGAGUCUGCAACUCGACUCCAUGAAGCU
rnacentral:rRNA from 1 species